rnacentral:rRNA from 1 species
GAUGAACGCUGGCGGCGUGCCUAAUACAUGCAAGUCGAGCGAACGGACGAGAAGCUUGCUUCUCUGAUGUUAGCGGCGGACGGGUGAGUAACACGUGGAUAACCUACCUAUAAGACUGGGAUAACUUCGGGAAACCGUAGCUAAUACCGGAUAAUAUUUUGAACCGCAUGGUUCAAAAGUGAAAGACGGUCUUGCUGUCACUUAUAGAUGGAUCCGCGCUGCAUUAUCUAGUUGGUAAGGUAACGGCUUACCAAGGCAACGAUGCAUAGCCGACCUGAGAGGGUGAUCGGCCACACUGGAACUGAGACACGGUCCAGACUCCUACGGGAGGCAGCAGUAGGGAAUCUUCCGCAAUGGGCGAAAGCCUGACGGAGCAACGCCGCGUGAGUGAUGAAGGUCUUCGGAUCGUAAAACUCUGUUAUUAGGGAAGAACAUAUGUGUAAGUAACUAUGCACAUCUUGACGGUACCUAAUCAGAAAGCCACGGCUAACUACGUG